UACGUAGGUGACAAGCGUUGUCCGGAUUUACUGGGCGUAAAGGGCGCGCAGGCGGUUCUGUUUGUCGAGUGUGAAAGCCCCGGGCUCAACCUGGGAACUGCGCUCGAAACGGCGGAACUAGAGUUCGGGAGAGGAGAGUGGAAUUCCCAGUGUAGAGGUGAAAUUCGUAGAUAUUGGGAAGAACACCGGUGGCGAAGGCGGCUCUCUGGACCGAUACUGACGCUGAGGCGCGAAAGCGUGGGGAGCAAACAGG
rnacentral:rRNA from 1 species